UACGGAGGAUGCGAGCGUUAUCCGGAUUUAUUGGGUUUAAAGGGUGCGUAGGCGGGUUAUCAAGUCAGCGGUAAAAUCGUGGAGCUCAACUCCAUCCAGCCGUUGAAACUGGCAGUCUUGAGUACAGUAGAGGUGGGCGGAAUUCGUGGUGUAGCGGUGAAAUGCUUAGAUAUCACGAAGAACUCCGAUUGCGAAGGCAGCUCACUGGACUGCAACUGACACUGAGGCUCGAAAGUGUGGGUAUCAAACAGG
rnacentral:rRNA from 1 species